GCAUGUAUCACUCCGCCUCAGCCAGGUGUUCUGAAUACACUUCAUUAACAUAACAGAAGCAGGUCUUAUCAGGACUGAUCAACAGACCUCUGAAUCCCACAGACCAACACAGCACCUGCCAACAGCCCCUCAUCUGCCAUCCGAUACAUCAGCUAUGGAGCAUCAUUUUCACUCAAUCUCUUUCCAUCUCUUCCCUUAUUCUCCUCUCUGUCUCUGCUGUAUCUGUGCCAGGAGUGAUAACCUGUCAUACACAGGAAGCAAAACGAGAUGGAAAGGGGUUGACCUGGUGAUGGACAGCAAGGGUCAGAGUGUGUGUUGUGUUUGUUGGUCAUGAUCUAAGUGCUGACAGCCCCCCUCCAGCCACCCAGCACCUAAACACACAGCUCCACUAGUGGAAAUAGAAUGGCCUGAACCUGCCAACAGCAACAACAGAUCUUGUUCCCAUGGCUUUGAUGGAAAACUGAGUCACCCCUUUAUUAUGGAACACAUCCCCUUGUACUCUGUCUCUUCAAACAUAAAAGCAUGUUAGUAGAAUCAUCUAUCAGAAUGCUUGAUAUUGUAAUAUUAAAGCAUUUUGAUACUCUCA